CUCCCGCCCUCCCCUUGUUUCUUUCACCUUCGAUUUCGCUCUGGAAAGCCCCUGGGACCCAAGGGCGCUGCUGGAAGACAGCCCAAAGGGGUAGCUGGAGUGCGCCCGGGGAGAGGGAGCUAGAGGAGAAACGAGACCGAAAAGGGUGAGGUCGCUCGCCCGGCGGCUGCCUGGUGGCGCCUGGCACCGGUUCCAUCUCACCCCCAGCGCUGCGUGUGCCAGGCGCUGCCAGGCUAAGUCCGGUCAGCUGGAGAGACUUCUGGGGACCGGGAGAGAAAGAACAGUUUUUAAAAUCCUGUCAGUUGUCCCAUCAAUGUCCUCUGGAUCUGUGUGCUUACAUGCUGUUACUGUGCUUACAUGCUGACUCUGGAUUCGAGUACACGGGAGGAGGAGCACCCUACAGACAGAUGUGUGAAUCUCCACUACAAUGGCAGCGUCAGCAGGGCAGGGACCUUAUCAGUCUUGUUUUCCACGUCAUACUCAGAGCCUUCUGAACAGGUAGAAGAAACUAAAAAAAAAAAGUUGACAAUCAACAAAUGAACAAAUACAUAUGCUCAGCAGCAGCUGUAUAACUGUAAAUCCACACAUUUUCAUCGCGAGAGAAGAGGGCAGACUGAUGUGUUGCCGAUGUUAACGAUAUUGAAGAAUUAACAAAGGAGAGAAGGAGGAAAGAAUGAAGCCGGUCCUCUUGUCAUCUGUUGGCUCAGUAUCCAUCUGUGUCGUUCGUUCUGUAAAAUUUCCCUUGAGAUAAAAAUGCUGAAAGACAGCUUCAUUCCUUUCGUGCUCCAGACUUUUGCAAAACACCUGCUCCAUCAACGAACGUCACUCAAGGAAGUUACUAAAAUGGAACCAUAAACCAGAGGGCAAUGCAUUCCUCUUUUCUACCACCAGAUGCACAUCAUAGAACUAUUGCUCACAAGAAGGACGCUUGUAAUUUCGUAUGUGAUCAUCGAGGAACAGAUGGAGAGUGAUUAUGUGGUCUCUGUCCUGCUGACUGUUUUAAAGCAAAUAAAUGUUAAUCUG